GGGUGACCUUCUCGGCAGAACCUUUCAGCUGCUGUGGUUCAUCACACUUUGAGAAUUUCCUACGUACUGCAGAAACAGAGGAGCAAUUGAAUCAGCCAGAGGAACUAGAGCCAGAGGAACAAGAUCAUAAUUAGGGUUUUAUAAGGUCAAUUUGUAGUAAUAUUAGCUUUCUUGCUAAUUAUAGUAGAUAGUAUAUUCAACAUAACAUUAAAA
rnacentral:lncRNA from 1 species